AAGACAUGUCAAUCUGCUCAUGUAAAUCUUCCACUCAGUAACCUUUUGUGUGCAGCAUUUAUUGAGGCUGAUGGCAAAAAUUGAAACCAACAUCAUGGUAUUCUGAAGACCAGAGAUAUGAAUCUCCCUCAUUUGACAUCCUACUGGGCCUGAAUCUGUUUCACUGCUAAAGCUCUGCUGCCAAACCUAUACAAGCUGCCUCCCUCUAGGCCCAGGGGCUAUCAUGGAAGAGAUUGCCGGAGGCCAGAAAGUAAGACAAAUAACAGCUCACCUGCCUGGCUUGUUGGAGCAACAAGAAACUUUAAGAGCAAUCCUCCAUUUGCCAGGUGAGGAAAUGACAUUAACAGCUGGAAAGAUUAAUAUGUUGGUGAAGGACCAGGGAAAAGAAAACUGCCAGCUUCCUAUACCAACCAUAGAGUUAAAGUUUUUGCUUUUUUUUUUUUUUCAGGUUCCUUGGUAAUUAGACUUGUCAAUAGAACAGAUUUCUGUGUCCAUAAUGCAUAAGGUUAAGUAAGGUAUGUCGGUAUGUUGAGUAAGAUCACCACUCAAAUGAGGAGAAUGAUUGUUACAAGGUACAACAUAUAAUGAACAAAGUGGGAAAUUAAGAAAUUCUUAAUUUGUACAUUCUGGCCCAGGAAAAAGAAAUGCUGAGAUUAUCUUGGAUUGUGUUUAGAUAACUGUUUUGUAUUUCAAAGUACUUUCAGAAUCAUCUCAUUUUAGCUUUACAAUCUAGAAAUUUUUAUACAUAUUAUUUUCUAUUUGAGAAUACUGACAAAUUUCGCUUAAACAAACUUUAGCCUGACUCCUGAAGCUCCUCCUGUAUCUAUGUGUGCACUUCCUUGUAAAAUCCAGUUUCAGCAAGAACUCUGCUAAAUCAUUUUAACCAGAACCUCCCACUCUUGAUACCGGAUCACCUUGAUAUUUUAUCAGGUUCCUCAUCUUCCACCUCCAGGGGAUGUCUGGUCACCCUGGCCUGUCUUCAGCAAGAACCCUAUUAAGUCAGUUUAGCCAGAAUCCUCCUUAUCCCUGAUGUUUCCUCUGAGCAAUUUUCCACCCACUGACCCCACCCUAUUCCUUGCCUAUAAGCUCCCACUUGCCAUGCUGUAUUAGGAUUUGAGCCCAAUCUCUCUCCCUCACUGCAAAAUCCCAUUGCAGUGGCCCCUGUACCAAACAUGAUGGUCCUGAAUAAAGUCUUUCUUGCUCUGUUGUAA